rnacentral:rRNA from 1 species
UACGUAGGGACCAAGCGUUGUUCGGAUUUACUGGGCGUAAAGGGCGCGUAGGCGGCGUGGUAAGUCACUUGUGAAAUCUCUGAGCUUAACUCAGAACGGCCAAGUAAUACUGCUGUGCUAGAGUGCAGAAGGGGCAAUCGGAAUUCUUGGUGUAGCGGUGAAAUGCGUAGAUAUCAAGAGGAACACCUGAGGUGAAGACGGGUUGCUGGGCUGACACUGACGCUGAGGCGCGAAAGCCAGGGGAGCAAACGGG